CACUUCUCCUUCCUGCUGACAUGUGAAGAAGGAUGUGUUUGCUUCCCCUUCCACCAUGAUUGUCCCAUGUAAAAUUUCCCUGUUCAACACGAAGAAAAAAGAGAAAGGCCAUCUCUUCUAUAACAGAAUGGACAUUUAACACUCUAAGUUAUUCUUUGGUUUGUCUUCAGUAUAAAUGUUUAUAAUGUCAAUAAUAUUGAAAUUGGUCAUUUUGUUUCUCCCACAGCUUGUGCUCUGGGGCAAAAGAUAAUAUAUCUUUCAAAUAAA
rnacentral:lncRNA from 10 species